rnacentral:rRNA from 1 species
GACGAACGCUGGCGGCGUGCUUAACACAUGCAAGUCGAACGGCAAGGCCCUGCUUUUGUGGGGUGCUCGAGUGGCGAACGGGUGAGUAACACGUGAGUAACCUGCCCUUGACUUUGGGAUAACUUCAGGAAACUGGGGCUAAUACCGGAUAGGAGCUCCUGCUGCAUGGUGGGGGUUGGAAAGUUUCGGCGGUUGGGGAUGGACUCGCGGCUGAUCAGCUUGUUGGUGGGGUAGUGGCUUACCAAGGCUUUGACGGGUAGCCGGCCUGAGAGGGUGACCGGCCACAUUGGGACUGAGAUACGGCCCAGACUCCUACGGGAGGCAGCAGUGGGGAAUAUUGCACAAUGGGCGGAAGCCUGAUGCAGCAACGCCGCGUGCGGGAUGACGGCCUUCGGGUUGUAAACCGCUUUCGCCUGUGACGAAGCGUGAGUGACGGUAAUGGGUAAAGAAGCACCGGCUAACUACGUG